rnacentral:RNase_P_RNA from 1 species
GGCGCGGACCAGGCGAUCGCCGGGCCGACUUGUUCGGUCCGGAGGAAAGUCCGAACACCACAGGGCAGGGUGCUCCAUAACGUGGAGUCGCGGCGACGCGAAGGCAAGUGCAACAGAAAGCAGACCGCCCAGGAGGGGUUUGAUCCCUGAAUGGGUAAGGGUGAAACGGUGCGGUAAGAGCGCACCAGUUCUCCGGGCGACCGGGGAAGCUGGGUAAACCCCACCCGGUGCAAGACCAAAUAGGGGAGUGUUUGAGAGCGGCCCGCUCAAGCUCCCGGGUAGGUCGCAGGAGGCAACGGGUAACCGUUGUCCAGAGAUGAAUGAUCGUCGGCGGAUUCGGGGUAACCCGGGUUCGCAACAGAAUUCGGCUUACGGUCCGCGCCGGCC